AUCUACAUAGUAUAAAAAGUAUAUUUGACUUCCAAUCAAAUGGUCUAUAAUAAUAGUAUAGAUA
rnacentral:tRNA from 1 species